UACGAAGGGGGCUAGCGUUGCUCGGAAUUACUGGGCGUAAAGCGCACGUAGGCGGACCGAUAAGUCGGGGGUGAAAUCCUGGAGCUCAACUCCAGAACUGCCUUCGAAACUGCCGGUCUUGAGUUCGGGAGAGGUGAGUGGAACUGCGAGUGUAGAGGUGAAAUUCGUAGAUAUUCGCAAGAACACCAGUGGCGAAGGCGGCUCACUGGCCCGAUACUGACGCUGAGGUGCGAAAGCGUGGGGAGCAAACAGG
rnacentral:rRNA from 2 species